AAGUCCAUGAUGAGGACAUUUUUAUAGCAAAUUUCUAAGCCUUUCCUAAGGUUCAUACAAUAAUUCACUCUCUUGUUGACUAAAAAUAGUUAUGUCCAUUCUAAAUUU